rnacentral:rRNA from 1 species
UCGAACGGAAAGGCCCUGCUUGCAGGGUACUCGAGUGGCGAACGGGUGAGUAACACGUGGGUGAUCUGCCCUGCACUUCGGGAUAAGCUUGGGAAACUGGGUCUAAUACCGGGUAGGAACCAUCUUUAGUGUGGUGGUUGGAAAGUUUUUUCGGUGUAGGAUGAGCUCGCGGCCUAUCAGCUUGUUGGUGGGGUAAUGGCCUACCAAGGCGGCGACGGGUAGCCGGCCUGAGAGGGUGUACGGCCACAUUGGGACUGAGAUACGGCCCAGACUCCUACGGGAGGCAGCAGUGGGGAAUAUUGCACAAUGGGCGCAAGCCUGAUGCAGCGACGCCGCGUGGGGGAUGAAGGCCUUCGGGUUGUAAACUCCUUUCGCUAGGGACGAAGCUUUUUGGUGACGGUACCUAGAUAAGAAGCACCGGCUAACUACGUGCCAGCAGCCGCGGUAAUACGUAGGGUGCGAGCGUUGUCCGGAAUUACUGGGCGUAAAGGGCUCGUAGGUGGUUUGUCGCGUCGUCUGUGAAAUUCUGGGGCUUAACUCCGGGCGUGCAGGCGAUACGGGCAUAACUUGAGUGCCGUAGGGGUAACUGGAAUUCCUGGUGUAGCGGUGAAAUGCGCAGAUAUCAGGAGGAACACCGAUGGCGAAGGCAGGUUACU